rnacentral:rRNA from 1 species
AAGGCCCUUUCGGGGGUACUCGAGCGGCGAACGGGUGAGUAACACGUGAGUAAUCUGCCCUGCGCUCUGGGAUAGCCACCGGAAACGGUGAUUAAUACCGGAUAGGACCACUUCACGCAUGUGAUGGUGGUGGAAAGUUUUUUCGGCGCAGGAUGUGCUCGCGGCCUAUCAGCUUGUUGGUGAGGUAACGGCUCACCAAGGCUUUGACGGGUAACCGGCCUGAGAGGGUGACCGGUCACACUGGGACUGAGACACGGCCCAGACUCCUACGGGAGGCAGCAGUGGGGAAUAUUGGACAAUGGGCGGAAGCCUGAUCCAGCAACGCCGCGUGAGGGAUGACGGCCUUCGGGUUGUAAACCUCUUUCAGUACCGACGAAGCGAAAGUGACGGUAGGUACAGAAGAAGGACCGGCCAACUACGUGCCAGCAGCCGCGGUAAUACGUAGGGUCCGAGCGUUGUCCGGAAUUAUUGGGCGUAAAGGGCUCGUAGGCGGUUUGUCGCGUCGGGAGUGAAAACACCGGGCUUAACUCGGUGCUUGCUUUCGAUACGAGCAGACUAGAGGUAUGCAGGGGAGAAUGGAAUUCCUGGUGUAGCGGUGAAAUGCGCAGAUAUCAGGAGGAACACCGGUGGCGAAGGCGGUUCUCUGGGCAUUACCUGACGCUGAGGAGCGAAAGUGUGGGGAGCGAA